rnacentral:rRNA from 1 species
ACAAAGGACGACAUUAGACGAAUCAUCUGGAAAGAUGAAUCAAAGAAGGUAAUAAUCCUGUAGUCGAAAAUGUUGUCUCUCUUGAGUGGAUCCUGAGUACGACGGAGCACGUGAAAUUCCGUCGGAAUCUGGGAGGACCAUCUCCUAAGGCUAAAUACUCUCUAGUGACCGAUAGUGAACCAGUACCGUGAGGGAAAGGUGAAAAGCACCCCGGAAGGGGAGUGAAAUAGAACCUGAAACCGUGUGCUUACAAGUAGUCAGAGCCCGUUAAUGGGUGAUGGCGUGCCUUUUGUAGAAUGAACCGGCGAGUUACGAUUUGAUGCAAGGUUAAGCAGUAAAUGUGGAGCCGUAGCGAAAGCGAGUCUGAAUAGGGCGUUUAGUAUUUGGUCGUAGACCCGAAACCAGGUGAUCUACCCUUGGUCAGGUUGAAGUUCAGGUAACACUGAAUGGAGGACCGAACCGACUUACGUUGAAAAGUGAGCGGAUGAACUGAGGGUAGCGGAGAAAUUCCAAUCGAACCUGGAGAUAGCUGGUUCUCUCCGAAAUAGCUUUAGGGCUAGCCUCAAGUGAUGAUUAUUGGAGGUAGAGCACUGUUUGGACGAGGGGCCCCUCUCGGGUUACCGAAUUCAGACAAACUCCGAAUGCCAAUUAAUUUAACUUGGGAGUCAGAACAUGGGUGAUAAGGUCCGUGUUCGAAAGGGAAACAGCCCAGACCACCAGCUAAGGUCCCAAAAUAUAUGUUAAGUGGAAAAGGAUGUGGCGUUGCCCAGACAACUAGGAUGUUGGCUUAGAAGCAGCCAUCAUUUAAAGAGUGCGUAAUAGCUCACUAGUCGAGUGACACUGCGCCGAAAAUGUACCGGGGCUAAACAUAUUACCGAAGCUGUGGAUUGUCCUUUGGACAAUGGUAGGAGAGCGUUCUAAGGGCGUUGAAGCAUGAUCGUAAGGACAUGUGGAGCGCUUAGAAGUGAGAAUGCCGGUGUGAGUAGCGAAAGACGGGUGAGAAUCCCGUCCACCGAUUGACUAAGGUUUCCAGAGGAAGGCUCGUCCGCUCUGGGUUAGUCGGGUCCUAAGCUGAGGCCGACAGGCGUAGGCGAUGGAUAACAGGUUGAUAUUCCUGUACCACCUAUAAUCGUUUUAAUCGAUGGGGGGACGCAGUAGGAUAGGCGAAGCGUGCGAUUGGAUUGCACGUCUAAGCAGUAAGGCUGAGUAUUAGGCAAAUCCGGUACUCAUUAAGGCUGAGCUGUGAUGGGGAGAAGACAUUGUGUCUUCGAGUCGUUGAUUUCACACUGCCGAGAAAAGCCUCUAGAUAGAAAAUAGGUGCCCGUACCGCAAACCGACACAGGUAGUCAAGAUGAGAAUUCUAAGGUGAGCGAGCGAACUCUCGUUAAGGAACUCGGCAAAAUGACCCCGUAACUUCGGGAGAAGGGGUGCUCUUUAGGGUUAACGCCCAGAAGAGCCGCAGUGAAUAGGCCCAAGCGACUGUUUAUCAAAAACACAGGUCUCUGCUAAACCGUAAGGUGAUGUAUAGGGGCUGACGCCUGCCCGGUGCUGGAAGGUUAAGAGGAGUGGUUAGCUUCUGCGAAGCUACGAAUCGAAGCCCCAGUAAACGGCGGCCGUAACUAUAACGGUCCUAAGGUAGCGAAAUUCCUUGUCGGGUAAGUUCCGACCCGCACGAAAGGCGUAACGAUUUGGGCACUGUCUCAACGAGAGACUCGGUGAAAUCAUAGUACCUGUGAAGAUGCAGGUUACCCGCGACAGGACGGAAAGACCCCGUGGAGCUUUACUGUAGCCUGAUAUUGAAAUUCGGCACAGCUUGUACAGGAUAGGUAGGAGCCUUUGAAACGUGAGCGCUAGCUUACGUGGAGGCGCUGGUGGGAUACUACCCUAGCUGUGUUGGCUUUCUAACCCGCACCACUUAUCGUGGUGGGAGACAGUGUCAGGCGGGCAGUUUGACUGGGGCGGUCGCCUCCUAAAAGGUAACGGAGGCGCUCAAAGGUUCCCUCAGAAUGGUUGGAAAUCAUUCAUAGAGUGUAAAGGCAUAAGGGAGCUUGACUGCGAGACCUACAAGUCGAGCAGGGUCGAAAGACGGACUUAGUGAUCCGGUGGUUCCGCAUGGAAGGGCCAUCGCUCAACGGAUAAAAGCUACCCCGGGGAUAACAGGCUUAUCUCCCCCAAGAGUUCACAUCGACGGGGAGGUUUGGCACCUCGAUGUCGGCUCAUCGCAUCCUGGGGCUGUAGUCGGUCCCAAGGGUUGGGCUGUUCGCCCAUUAAAGCGGUACGCGAGCUGGGUUCAGAACGUCGUGAGACAGUUCGGUCCCUAUCCGUCGUGGGCGUAGGAAAUUUGAGAGGAGCUGUCCUUAGUACGAGAGGACCGGGAUGGACAUACCUCUGGUGUACCAGUUGUCGUGCCAACGGCAUAGCUGGGUAGCUAUGUGUGGACGGGAUAAGUGCUGAAAGCAU